UGUUUCUAGCUUUAUUCCAUUACACUUCAUUAAUCUGCGAUGCGUAGCUUUUUAAACACUACACAGUGAAAGGAUGUAAACACUUCUCGAAAAUGAUUCACCGACCUCUGGCAAACAGCGCAGUUACAUAGCCACCGUUUCUUGUUUUAUCCCACACAUCCGGAUCUAGAGUUCAACGUUUCUGGGUUUAAUAUGUGGAAUUACAAGUGACAAGUAAACGAUCAUGGCGACAGGAGGGGGGUCAUCUAUAAAAGAAGAACAAGAAUAUUUCACACGAAUACAAAUAGCUCUCGUGGACUGUGGCAUGGCUGUGCUUAAGGAGCUGUUUUUACAGGGAGUUCAUGGGACUGUGGAUAACUUUUUGCACGAGAACAAGAAACGCCUUUUGGGUUCACUUGACAAACAUAAGGAAAACAUAUUGUAUCCCUACAGACAAGACACUCGUCUAGAAGAAUGGGAUAUAUCAUUGUAUGUCAUUGUUAUUCUUACAGCAUGUUAUACGACAAGUGAACAUAGAAUGUUACGUCAGGACAUUGCUAACUUAAGUAACCUUAGAAAUAAGCUGUGUCAUAAACCAAAUCACAGAUUAUCGGCUGAAGUUUAUAAUGAGUACUUGGGGCGCAUUCGUGGUUCAAUCAACCGAAUAUGUGAGUUUUUGAGCGAUCAAACUUUAACACAAUUUGUCAACAAAACAUUAGAUGAGUACGAGAGUUUGAAACAUGCAUAUCCAAAUGGCGUGUUGAACGAGUAUGUGAAAAACAUCGACACUGUUUCUGAAGGCGACCUAGGAGUAGCAGGGGCUUUGGAGCAAAUAAAGCAACUUAUCAAUGAUACUGAAAUCAAGAUUGAAAUUCCAGUGAUCGAUGUGUUGCUGUUAUUUAGCAAUUACAACCAUGACGAUGAGGAGAAAGUUUCGAAUUACUUAAGAAAAACCUUUGAAACUGCAUUACAACAAAGUACUUUGCACGAAGGCGCUUUGCAUGAUCCAGACCAAGAAGAGCGAGAUGAGCAAGGAAACACAGAUAGAAAUGUGGACGAUAAAGUCGUAAAUAUAGUCCAAGAACUGCUCAGAGAAAAAAGAAAAGUGGCUUAUAUCAAGCAAAGUUGUGUCACUCUUGGACUUCAAGUACCUGAUAUUGGAUCUGCAAUAACUCUCAUUUAAGACAUCAUAUCUGGAAAGAUGUAUUCAUUAUUUGCACCUCUAGAGGAAACGAUGAGGACUCUGAAAGGACACGAGUUGUUUGACAUCAACGUGACAAUGGAAAGGAAAACUAGCUAUACUUUUCUGAAUGAGAUCGUUUCACAAAUUACGAGUUCAAGAAGUUUGAGUGAGAAAAUGACUCUGUCCGUGAAAAAAGAUGACGAAUGCACUAAUGUGGUCAAGUGUGUUUAUCAUCCUUCCAGUUACAUUGAAAGGGGACAAGUAAUAAAUGAUCUGAUGGCAAAGGGAAAGGGCGAAUUAUAUCAAACAACUGUUGACGAGAUUCGUCGAGGUCUGGAAAUUCCUCACCUUGUGAUGAGCGUUUUCAUAGAGGAUACCAGUUCUCCAAACAGUGUUGUUGUUUCAGCUGAUAAAUUUUUCUCUGAAAAACAAAAGACAUUGACGUAAGUAUGGUUUUCGUUUUAAUAUAGGAACGCUGCUGUUUUGCUUGCGAAUUAUUGGAAAUAUCAUUGACUACAUUUACUUGAGAAGUAUAACAUAUGUAGAACAUCAUAAUAUUUUCGUAAAUACUAUCUAUUUUAUUUAAAUAAAAGGUUAAUUUUUUUGGUUCAUCUAUUUUAGAUUACUGUUUAUUUCUUGAUAUACAAACCGAAUUGUGUACGUUUACAAUCUUUAUUAGGUCAAUGAAUAUGCCAGAAACAGUUCAGUACCCUAACAAUGUUAGGUAAAUACUCCAGAACAUUCUUUUAUUCUUAAACAUUUCUUUACCAAAUUUUACAUCAUUUUUUUAUUUGUGAGAAAAUAUAACUUAGUAAAAUCAUUUCAAAUGUAAAACCAUUGCUAGUAGGUGGUUAAGUGAUAGAGAGAGUCGAGUAAAUUAGAACAAUGGUGUGAGAGUGUUUUGUAAGUAAGAAUGUGAAACUGUGGAGGCAUUAUAUUUACGCAUUGUAUUCAAAGAACAGAUUUUUUAUUAAAAAGUAUGUUUUUAUUAAGCAAAUUAACAAUUAAUGUGUGGUAAAAAGCUACAAUUACAGUUUCAUACACAAUUAUAUUUAACUACUAUCUUUGAUGAAUGCAAAAUGAAUACAGACAAUUUAAAUUAUUAAUAUGCUUAGAUACCACAUCUAAGCUAUAUAUUUAAGGCAACAAAGAGAAUGCUUGAUUGUGCUUGAUUUUGAUUGGCAAGGUAUCCAAAGUAUAAGAGGUCGAGCCCCUACUAUAAAUACUCAUAACUGUUAAGAGGAAACUAAUCACAUGAUAACUCUAAAAUAACGCAAGAAGGUUGAAAAGAUUAAAUGUAUAAUUCACUCAAUAAAAUAGUUUAUUCUCGAUGACAAUAGUAAUUUGACCGAUAAAGCGUAAAAACGAGACAUUGACAUUGUAUACAGAAGCGAGACACCGUAUUUCAGUUUUGUUUGAAAUACUAGUAUGCCGUUUUCUAAAUUGUUUAUAUAUUUAUCCGGUGAUUUGCUUAAUGAUAGUAUUUUCUUACUUAUACAAUUAAUUUUUACAGAUAAUGUUUAAAUAAAACAUUCCGUUACUAUCUACAAUAAAAUAUGUCAAAUGUCCCCUCUACGACGAUCGAUCCGGAAAAAUCGACACAGCUGUCUGAAAUUUGAUGUUAUAUUUUGUUAAAAAUACCAAACAUUGAAAGCUUGGAACAAAACAACAUUUACAGUUUCUUUUGCUCAAUCUGUUUACUCACUCAACACAUCUCUAUAAUUUGCGUUUUAUAGACAUAAGAGUGUAACCUAAAUUUCCAACAAUGAUAUCGCCUUUUGGCCUUUAUUUAUUACAAUACUAAAUAAUUAAAAUAUUAAAUUUUAUAAUAUAACACAGGUGGAAAUCAUAAUUUGUUUUCCCGCCUUCUGAAAACAUGUUAUAAUCCACGUCAGUUUAAACAGUUUGUUUAACAUUUCAAUGACCAAGACGUGCUCGCUCGCUCCGCAAUUUUAGGUUUUUACACAAUAUAUUCCAACCAUUUAAGUUGUGCAUAUUAAGGUAUCCGAUGUACAAUAAAGCCUGUCAUUGCAUUGAGACAUUGGUAAUAAGGUUAAAAUUCAAUGCUCGCUGACCCAAUAUAAGUUUUGUUUCAUUUAAAAGGGAAUUGUAUAUUGAUAACAUAUAUAUAAACUAAAUGGACGUAAAUAUAUUAAAUGUAUAAACUAAGUAAUUGCAGUUUGUUCAUUUCAACUGAAAUCCGACGUGAAAUGGUCUCUUUUACAAUCUCCCUACGCCGAUAAAUUGCGUUUCUUACCUUGGUUUCAGAAAGUUCACCUGUUCACAGUCUAAUCAUAAAAGGCUUUCAAAUGAUAACAAAUUAAUAUGAUGUCACCAGGCAUCCAAAAUUCACAUAAUUGUACACCGGGUACGUAAACUGAUAUGUUAUUGCUUUUACAUGGUGAUUUUGCUUGUUGACAAAACUUCUUGAAUAUGCAAGCUUUGAGCAUAUUAUGCAAUGUUUCGUCUUUCCGUUGUGCUCACAAUCAACAUUAAACAAUAAAACGUGAGAAUAAAGCAGAGCUAUUAAAUCGAGGUCACAACUUUCACCCUAACACCGAAACUAUGUAUAAUGUACGGUGCACAAUAAUUUGAUUUACAUAAUAUCUGCAGGUCUCAAAAGCUGACCGAAAACGUUGAGACUCCUGUAAAUAUCACAGAGGAGACUGCUAAGAAGGCUCCCCCAAAAAGUUUACACACCAUGGCCACUGAAAGAGCAUCGCUAUACAAGGGAUCUAACCUUGUGCAUGACUACAUUUGUUCCACGUGUGAGGAUAUUGGCCUAGACGUUAAAGCCAAGUACUUUUGUAAAGAGUGUGAAUACUAUAUGUGUGACAAAUGUGUGCGCUUACAUAAUGGAGUCAAUAGAAAACAUACCGUGUACGGACGUGGUAACAUUCAGAAGUGGGUGUGUUCCACGUUGGACAAUUUGGACAAGCAUGGCAUUAAGCUGAAGCUCAAAUGCAAUGACCACCAGGAGUUGUGCUGCUACGUUUGUGCAGCAAUGUACCACACGUAGUUACUGUUAUAAGAUAUUGUAAUGAACAUUGUUUUCAUAACCUUGAAAUGCAUCAAGCACCUCUUAUAUGCAGCCUUAGAAAGAGGGUAGUAAACAGUAGCGAAUUGUAUGAACACUGGAUAAGUUAUCCACAGGUUGUAUUUUGGCUCGUGUAAAAAUGAAAGCAAUUUGACUGGUCAGCAGUAAUUUUUGACCAUUCAAAAAACAUUUUGAUCAAUAGUGAUUAUAUGUAAAGUAAAAAAAACAAGUUAUAUUUGGAAUUAAAUUUACAUAAGAGUGUUUCUAUCAAUACAAAUUGUACAGAAUUGAACACACUUGGUUGAUUAAAAGAAACCAUCAACUAAUACACGUUCUGUUCUGUUAUGUGUUUUCAUUUCUGUUCCCCUUUUAAUAUAGAAUACAUUUACAUAUGUAUCCUUGCAAAACAAAAUUAAAUAUUCAAUAUU